rnacentral:rRNA from 1 species
AUGAAUGUCCUAAGCUGGAACUACCGGGGAGGGGGGAAUACUCGGACAGUUCGUGAGUUAGCGACUAUCUGUCAGUCGCAUUCCCCCAGCAUGGUGUUUUUGUGUGAAACAAGACAGAGAGCUGACAAAAUGAAGAAGGUGCGGGGGAGGAUUGGUUUGAAGGGUUUUGCAGGAGUUGAUAGUAAUGGGAUGAGCGGUGGUCUUGCGCUUUAUUGGCAUGAGAGUUACGAUGUGGAGAUUCUGGACAAAGAAGAGCAUUUUAUUGAUGCACUAGUCCGUGUCCAGGAGGGGGCGGCCCAAUGGAGGAUCACAUGUAUAUAUGGUGAACCACGUGUUGAGAACAGGCACAUCAUGUGGUCCAAACUUGAGCAACUAAAAGUCGUGAAUGAUCUACCUUGGCUUGUCGUGGGUGAUUUCAAUGAGGCCAUGUGGGGAUUUGAGCAUUUAUCAGCUACGCCAUGGGGAGAGUGA